GAUGAAGAACGUAGCGAAAUGCGAUAAGUAGUGUGAAUUGCAGAAUUCAGUGAAUCAUCGAAUCUUUGAACACACAUUGCGCCCUUUGGUAUUCCAAAGGGCAUGCCUGUUCGAGCGUCAUUUGUACCCUCAAGCUUUGCUUGGUGUUGGGCGUCUUGUCUCUAGCUUUGCUGGAGACUCGCCUUAAAGUAAUUGGCAGCCGGCCUACUGGUUUCGGAGCGCAGCACAAGUCGCACUCUCUAUCAGCAAAGGUCUAGCAUCCAUUAAGCCUUUUUUUCAACUUUUGACCUCGGAUCAGGUAGGGAUACCCGCUGAACUUAAGCAUAUCAAUAAGCGGAGGA
rnacentral:misc_RNA from 1 species